GGCUGGGGGAAGGAGUGAUUUCUCCGGGAGGGGGUGUCUCAGAUCUGAAGAGCCACUUAACGCUCCCUCCUCUUCUCCGAAGGCUUCUGUUCAGGGUCAGGCAACCUGGAACUGCGUUUGAAGUGAUUCUGAACAUAUAGCAAGAAGAAAAGAGUGUACCAGACAUGGCUCAUUGGCUUCCCUUCCACAGGUGAAGAAUGAUGGAACAAUGGACUAUGCACCAGCUCCUUGGAGCCUCAGCUCAUGCACCAACCCACCUCCUGCCAUUUCCUGGCUUAUCUCCCUGAGAUGGGUUCACAGAUGUCCACUUCUCACCUCCUGGCCUCUCACACACUAUCCUGGCCUUGGGACUGCUGCUUCCUUCUGCCCCUGGAAGGGGUCUGGUUGCUAAGUUUGGGAAGGUUGGGUAUGCCUUAUGACAUCUUGGAAUGGGGCAGGGUGUCAGUCUUUUCUACUGGAUGGCAGGGCUACAGCACAUGUGGCUGGCCACUUGGCAGGGGCCUCUCAUGCACCAUGGAUCCACACCGAGUAUGCCCCAGCAUGGAGAUCGUGAUCCCUUGGAGGCCACUGACUGCCCUGGGCUGAGGCAGUGGGCAUGUGGGAAGGGGAGACUGACUUCCCUGUCCCUGGCUGAGGCCCUGCAUUUUAACUUUGUUCUGGGCCCUGCCAAUUAUGUAGUCAGCCCUGCUUGACUGCAGG